rnacentral:rRNA from 1 species
AUGAUUCACUGGCUCUGCAGAAGUUUCAGUGGGGAAAUUCUUUCAGUAACAUUAUUUUACUUCUGGCCUGAAGCUGAUGAUCAUGUUGCAACAGCGUUCUGCCAUUCACUUGGUAGCAAAUCUGGGUGUCUGCUGAAGCUUUACUGUUUGGUGCUUAGUGAAACCAGGGACGAGAAGCCACAGAAGCCACUAAAGGCGAGCCUCGGGAUACCAAGCUCUCUUGCGACGUCACCGGUCCACCAAUGCAUCGUGUCAGAUAUGAUGCAGCUCGGAGGCGACUGUUGCUGCUCAUGGAGGUGUGCCUUGAGCGGCUCCCGAAGCGUGGUGCAUGCCUCCAAGAAGUUCGACAGCAGAUCCUUGGAUUGGAUCAUGUCGACGUUCUCACACCCGUCCGGUAGGCCAAACUCGGCUGCCGGGAAAUGGAGCUCCACGAGCCGGACCGCCAGGCCUGCCUCCUCCACGUGGGCGGCAAAGCUUGCCAACCUGGACGCGUUCACUGGCGUGGUGAUGAAGGUGACCUGCGCGCCGUGCUCGGCCAGCAGGCGUGCCAUGUCGGUCAUGGGAAUGGUGUGA